rnacentral:rRNA from 1 species
CAGCAGCCGCGGUAAUACGUAGGUGGCGAGCGUUAUCCGGAAUUAUUGGGCGUAAAGAGGGAGCAGGCGGCACUAAGGGUCUGUGGUGAAAGAUCGAAGCUUAACUUCGGUAAGCCAUGGAAACCGUAGAGCUAGAGUGUGUGAGAGGAUCGUGGAAUUCCAUGUGUAGCGGUGAAAUGCGUAGAUAUAUGGAGGAACACCAGUGGCGAAGGCGACGAUCUGGCGCAUAACUGACGCUCAGUCCCGAAAGCGUGGGGAGCAAAUAGGAUUAGAUACCCUAGUAGUCCACGCCGUAAACGAUGAGUACUAAGUGUUGGGAGUCAAAUCUCAGUGCUGCAGUUAACGCAAUAAGUACUCCGCCUGAGUAGU